rnacentral:rRNA from 1 species
UCUUGAACUUAGCGCGAUGGGUGAGUAACACGUACUUAACAUGCCYUUUAGAUUGGGAUAACGAUGAGAAAUUAUCGCUAAUACCGGAUACUUAUAUGGAACGCAUGUUCUAUAUAUAAAAGGAGCCUUAAAGCUUCACUAAAGGAUUGGGGUGCGUAACAUUAGCUAGUUGGUAGGGUAAUGGCCUACCAAGGCUAUGAUGUUUAACGGGGUUGAGAGACUGAACCGUCACACUGGGACUGAGAUACGGCCCAGACUCCUACGGGAGGCAGCAGUAGGGAAUUUUCCACAAUGGACGAAAGUCUGAUGGAGCGACACAGCGUGCAGGAUGAAGGCCUUCGGGUUGUAAACUGCUGUUAUUUAGGAUGAAAAAAAUAGUAGAGGAAAUGCUAUUAUCUUGACAGUACUAAAUCAGAAAAGCAACGGCUAACUAUGUGCCAGCAGCCGCGGUAAUACAUAGGUUGCAAGCGUUAUCCGGAAUUAUUGGGUGUAAAGCGUCUGUAGGUUGUAUGUUAAGUCUGACGUCAAAACUUGGGGCUCAACCCCAAAUCGCGUUGGAUACUGGCAUACUAGAAUUGCAUAGAGGUUAACGGAAUUCCUUGUGAAGCGGUGAAAUGCGUAGAUAUAAGGAAGAACACCAACAUGGCGAAGGCAGUUAACUGGGUGCAUAUUGACACUGAGAGACGAAAGCGUGGGGAGCAAACAGGAUUAGAUACCCUGGUAGUCCACGCCGUAAACGAUGAUGAUUAGCUAAUAGUGAUGAAGCUAUUGGCGCAGCUAACGCAUUAAAUCAUCCACCUGAGUAGUAUGCUCGCAAGAGUGAAACUUAAAGGAAUUGACGGGGAUCCGCACAAGCGGUGGAGCAUGUGGUUUAAUUUGAAGAUACGCGUAGAACCUUACCCACUCUUGACAUCGGCUUCCGCGAAGCUAUAGAGAU